CCCUCCGUGUUCUCACCGUCUGACACACUCCGUGUGGUAGUCUACCUCUUUGUUCUGUUGAUGGUUUACUCUCUGCACUGGAGCAGAAGUUCCAUGAGGAAAAGGGGUUUUGACGGUUUUGUUCGCUGCUUUGUGCUCUGGGGCAGUCUCUACCGAAUGGACAACCUAAGUGUUGGCUGCUACAGGUAUAUCCCAAGACUGGGCUGAUUAGAGGCCCAGCAGUACCAGGCAUGGGAGGCGCGAGACCAAACGAACUUUAUCAGUAAUGAUGCACAUUCCGGAAUGCUACCACGCACAAGGCUCUGUCUGGGCAGGUGAGCGCAGCCGGCCCCCUCCUCAGAGGCCUCGGAGACACCCAGAAACAGGAAGACAGCAUCUACCACGACUCAAACGAGUACUGCGGAAUGCAUGUUGCUGGGGCGCAGGGUAGGGGACGGGAAGCCGGGGCAAGGGUAUUCCUAAUAAGCUGGAAGAACGUUCUCCACGUCAAGCAGCAGCCCCUGAAUCUAUAAAGGACUGCUUCCUGAGCGCUCGGAAGAAAAGCAUUCAGAAUGAGUAAGCGUGCCAGCUCGUGUAAAUAACAUCUACUUCCAUUCCUGAAGACCCGUAAGGUGGAAAUCUGGUUUUCCGGGUGGCUGGAAUACGGCACAUCCUGGAUAGAAAGCGCCUGCUCUGGGCUGUGACGGGGGUGAGGCUUCCCCGAGCGCUUUACCAACACGACACACACCGUCCCUGGCAUGAUUUUUUCAGCCCCACAGCGGUAUGAAAGCGACACUGGCGCAGUAGAAACCAGACUUCACAUUUUUGAAUUUUGAUCUCUUCCUGGGUGAGCGAGACGUGGUACCGUCCUCUCUCGUGACGCUGGGCACGGCAGCCCCGCGAUCGAGGGGGUAAACAGCAGAUGUGCUCAUAACCAUUCCGCACCCAACCACCACCGUGCUUCACCUUCUCUCUCUAGGGUGCUCAACGGAUUACAUGAGGUUCUCAACACUUCCUUAUAAGAGAGGCUUCGUGGGAGAUGACUCUGCCCAACCGUAUGCUAAUGGAAAUGUUCUGAACACAUUUAAGGCAGACCAGGCUAAGCCAUGCUGUUCAGCAGGUUCCAAAGGCCAGGGAACAACUGCUCAAAAUCCUCUCCAAACCAGCCUCCAGUGAAUGGGUACACUGAACAGUGGUAUGCAACACUUGGUUAACAGCUGAAUGCCGUAGGGACGGGUGUUCUACGCUGUGGAACUGCUGGAAGAAUCAGGUGAACUACUGUGUGUCAUUAACGUCUUCGUCUUACAGCUGAGGAAUGUGGGGCACAUAGAAGCCUCCAGCGAGAGACCGCGCUGUGUCCACCUGUCAUCCGAGACUGAAAAGCAUUGCCGUCCCCUGGGUUAAGAGGAUGGUGGGACCACAUCACGGAAGGACCUGAGUCCCCGAUUGACUACGUGGAGUGGAAGUGUUCAGCCCUGCAUCCCGCCAACCUGAACUGACCUGUCAAGAAAGUCAGAAACCGAUUUUCAUUCUGUAAAUGCAUUAAAACUUCGGGUUAUUUGUUCCAGUA